rnacentral:tRNA from 1 species
AAAAUCUUAGUUAAAAAAUAACAUUAAAUUGUCAAAUUAAAGUUACUAUAAUAGUAGAUUUUU